GGCUAUUAUCACAGUGCUAAAUUUGAUCUGGAGUCACCUGACGAGGCAGAAAAAGUGAUUAAAUGUGCAUUUAAGCAUAUUUACAUGGAUGCACACCUUUGAGAAGCCUACUCUGUGGUAGUUAAGAAUCACAGAUGUUGAUUGCAGUGCCUACCUUGUUCUGUUACAACUGCUAUUUCUGUUGACAAAAAAGUGUGCUGUACCAGAGAAAGUCCACAGAGAACAGUAAUACUCAGCAGGUGCCAAUAAGGACAGAAUCGGAGAGCUAAUUUAAUCUGCUUCUCAGGUUGCUGAAGGUAGCAGCUGGAAUUCCACUAAUUAUCUCCUUCCCAUCUUAGCUUAUAAACCUGAUGCAUAUAUAUCCAUCCUGCUUCAUUCCACCACUCCUUUCUAAGCCAGCAGCCUAAUAAUGAAGCUCUUCAUGAGACUGUGAAGCCAGUACCAGCAACAAUGAGUCUUCAUUAUUCCUGGAGAAGACUGGGGUGUUUGAUAUGCAUGAAGCUUUGUGCAGAUAGCUACGACUAUAAACUGCCAUUUGUUACUGUCAAACAAAUAAGUGUUACAACUAUUUAGAAGUGUUGCUCUUCUCUAGCAAGG
rnacentral:lncRNA from 1 species